UGGGGAAUUUUGGACAAUGGGGGAAACCCUGAUCCAGCCAUCCCGCGUGUGCGAUGAAGGCCUUCGGGUUGUAAAGCACUUUUGGCAGGAAAGAAACGUCAUGGGUUAAUACCCCGUGAAACUGACGGUACCUGCAGAAUAAGCACCGGCUAACUACGUGCCAGCAGCCGCGGUAAUACGUAGGGUGCAAGCGUUAAUCGGAAUUACUGGGCGUAAAGCGUGCGCAGGCGGUUCGGAAAGAAAGAGGUGAAAUCCCAGAGCUCAACUUUGGAACUGCAUUUUUAACUACCGGGCUAGAGUGUGUCAGAGGGAGGUGGAAUUCCGCGUGUAGCAGUGAAAUGCGUAGAUAUGCGGAGGAACACCGAUGGCGAAGGCAGCCUCCUGGGAUAACACUGACGCUCAGGCACGAAAGCGUGGGGAGCAAACAGG
rnacentral:rRNA from 1 species